rnacentral:rRNA from 1 species
UACGUAGGGGGCAAGCGUUGUUCGGAAUCACUGGGCUUAAAGGGCGCGUAGGCGGCUUGUCAAGUCAGGGGUGAAAUCUUUCGGCUCAACCGGAAAAGUGCCUUUGAUACUGACAAGCUAGAGGGAAGUAGGGGCAUGUGGAACUUCUGGUGGAGCGGUGAAAUGCGUUGAUAUCAGAAGGAACGCCGGUGGCGAAAGCGACGUGCUGGACUUCUUCUGACGCUGAGGCGCGAAAGCUAGGGGAGCAAACGGG